GGGGAACAACAGCUGGAACGGCUGCUAAUACCCCAUAGGCUGAGGAGCAAAAGGAGGAAUCCGCCCAAGGAGGGGCUCGCGUCUGAUUAGUUAGUUGGUGAGGCAAUGGCUUACCAAGGCGACGAUCAGUAGCUGGUCCGAGAGGAUGAUCAGCCACACUGGGACUGAGACACGGCCCAGACUCCUACGGGAGGCAGCAGUGGGGAAUUUUCCGCAAUGGGCGAAAGCCUGACGGAGCAAUGCCGCGUGAAGGCAGAAGGCCCACG
rnacentral:rRNA from 1 species